rnacentral:rRNA from 1 species
UAGGGAAUAUUAGUAAUGGGCGCAAGCCUGAACUAGCAACGCCGCGUGUGCGAAGAAGGCCUUCGGGUUGUAAAGCACUUUUUGAGAGGAUGGGGAAGGACGGUACUCUCAGAAUAAGUCUCGGCUAACUACGUGCCAGCAGCCGCGGUAACACGUAGGAGGCGAACGUUAUCCGGAUUUACUGGGCGUAAAGCGCGUGUAGGUGGUUUGGUAAGUAGGGCGUGAAAGCUCCUGGCUCAACUGGGAGAGGCCGUUCUAAACUGCCGAACUAGAGGAUGGUAGAGGGAGGUGGAAUUCCGGGUGUAGCGGUGGAGUGCGCAGAUAUCCGGAGGAACACCAGUGGCGAAAGCGGCCUCCUGGACCAUUCCUGACACUCAGACGCGAAAGCUAGGGUAGCAAACGG